rnacentral:lncRNA from 1 species
AGAAAUUGCAGCCGCUCAGCUUCUACCCCCUCCUGCCUUUCCUUCCUCUUUCCUUACUUCCUUCCCUUCCCUCGGCUUCCCGCUCUUGCCUCACUCUCAGCGGCUGCCUUCGCCCCUGUCUGCAGACAGCGCCGCUGGAUGCUCCCAGCUGGACUUCAACCCCACUCCUCUCAGUCCCUCUCCCCACUGCCUUCCAGACGCGCCUCUUCCCCGCCCCGCGCCCCUCUCUCCUCUCCCACCCCUGCCCCUCUCCGCGGCGCUCACCCUCCUCAGUCCCAGUUUCUGAAAGGACUCAGCUGAGAAAGGACAACUGGGUUCCGCUUUCCUUAACCCUACACCCUUUAGCUGGAUGCUGUCAGAGGCGAUGGAGAAACGCAAAGGACACAGCAAGAGGCAACAUUUUGGAAGCAGAGGGCAACUCUCACUGGAAACCAAAUCUCCUGGCACCUUGAUCUUGGAUUUUACAGCCUCCAGAACUGAUAGCUGGGAGGCAUUACAUAGUCAUGUGCGAGGUCAAAACUGAGUCACCACCACAACCAAGUUCCAGCUGGCAAGAAGAGGAAAAAUAACACAGAGGAGUUAUGACCAGUGUUGUAAGGAUCUGGCCUAGAAAUGGCAUGCAUCUCUUCCACUAAUAUCCUAUUGGUAAAAAUGUAGUCACAUGGGCACACCACCUAUCUGCAUGGAAGGCUGGGAAAUGUUGAUCGGUAGGGCAGCCAUAUGUGUAGGAAGGAGAAAACAGAAUUUGGUGGAUACCUAGUAGUCUCUGCCAUACCCUUGACCAGAAAUUUUUCUUCUAAAGAAUUUAAUUCUAAAAGUUAUAGACAUUCCCAAAGAUAUACCUGCAAGCAUCACAGCUUUGUGUAUAAUUGCAAAAGUUGAAAUCAACAUGAAUGCCCAAAAUAGUGAAUUAUUUAAACAGAUUAUUACCCAUAUUAUGAAGAAAUACUCUGCAACUCUUAAAAAUAAAUGUAAUGUGCCAGGCGCAAUGGGAUAUGCCUGCAGGCCCAGCUACACGGGAGGCCAAGGCAGGAGGAUCACUUGAAAUCAAGAGUUCAAGUCUAGCCUAGACAACAUAGUGAGACUUGGUCUCUAAAAAAGAAAAAAAAAAAUAAAACUGAUGUAAUGAAUAUAUAAUUACAACAAAAGAGGUCUAACACUAUAGUAGAAAAGUUUGGGGCACUCAUCCCAUUCAUAAUUAUUUUACAUUUAAAUUACUGUUCCUACUUAAGUGGUGAGCUUGGUAACCAUUUUCAUAUCAGGUGAUACUGCUGCAGUAAUCAUAGCUGUUUGAAUCAGGAAUAAUCCCAAUCACAUUUUCUCUUAAUCGUUUAUUAUACUGGGCAUUGGGGUUGCAAGAUAAUGCACAGUCCGAGCUCAAUACAUGUCUUCAUGUACCUGUAUGUAAAUCCCACUUUUAUUCUAAAAUUCUUUGAAUAUUUUGUUUCUUGGAACCCAAUGAUCCUAAGAAAAUUAUGUACUUUUACCUGAAAAUUAAAACCAAUAUUUAUAAAAAGUGUAUAUGCAGUAUGAUACCACUUUUAAAAAAAGAUAAAUUUAUAGAAAAAAGUUUAUAUGACUGACAACAAUGUCUCUGAGUGGUAGGAUUACAGUUAAUUUUUAUUUUCUUCAUUCUACUUAUCUUUAUUUUCUGAACUUUCUACAAUGAACAUGUUUUAUUUUUACUUUUGUUAAAAUAAAUAACAUUUAAUUUGACGGAAAAUUCUAAAAAUCAACAUUUGGUAACUUAAAUAUUCAUUGGCACAUGAUUCUGUGCCUGUUUCUGGGGGUCAUUCCCAUGAGAAGAGCAGGUAGAACUUAUGAGAAUAGAGCAGUCGAAAUAUUAUAGGUUUCAUAUUUUACGGCUUUAUUGAAAACAUUGAUAUAUUGAAUAUUCAUAAAUUUUAAUUUAACUUUCUUUUAUAAUCCUUAAUGUGAGGCUAAGGUAUAAGGAGAAAGGAGAUUGGUAAGGAAGUGUGAUACAUAUUGAAUCAGGUGUCAAGGUACCAUUUGUGCCUGGAUCUGACCAAUAGACCAAGGUAAAAAUCUCAAAGAAUGAGACUUGUAAUGAGAAUGCCACAAACUUGAAUACCUUAUGCACAAAACACAAACAUUGUUAUGCAUAAUGUACAUGAACCCUGAAACAAAGAUAAUGAUUUGGACCACCCAACUGAAGUGGCAUGUUAUGUUUUUGGCAUGAACAAAAGAAACAAGAGAGAAAAAAAUCAAAAUAAUUAAAAUAAAUUGUUAGAGAAAAGUUACUUUAAAAAUAGCUAUAACGCUUUGCAAUUUCAGUAACAGUUCUGCCUCUGAUGCAAUGUAAAACAUGUAUUAGACAUUCAGGCUCCACAAUAAAUUUUAAUGAGCACUACAAAUUUAGAAUAUAUAAAAAUAUCAGUAACCUAUGAAUUCAUCAACAUAACUCACUUUUCAGUUAAGUUAGGCUGAGUUGAAAUUCUACUAAGUUUUCCCAUAUUCUUGAUAAAGGCUAAAUUUGAAAUAAUUUAUUUAGAUGACUAAUUGGCAAUUUGAUAGUAGUUACAUUUUAUGUAACACUUGAUAUAAUAACCCAAAUUAAUUAGCUCAAUAUUAUCUUCUGUGGUUUAUUGAUCCAAAAGUACAUAUUUGUUAUGUAAACUUAUACUAUGUAAACUUGAAUUAGUUUUUUGCUUCCUUGAAUUAAUAAAGCCCAUUAAUGCAAAUCUAAGCCUUCAUAGACUUUUCCAAUCCUUAGUUAAAUAUUAAAAACUGAGUAUUGUAGUUAUUUGCUAGGUAUAAAAGGUGACUCAGAGUAGAGAGUAAGAUGUCAGCAAAUAGACAAUAAGAUGUCAGCAAAAGUGCCUCAAAUUUUAACUGCGUCAAGUUAAGGGCAUUGUAAAUACUGUAGUUUUAUGUAGCUUGCAACUUCUACUGAAAUGAGUUUAAUCAUGUCUUUCACAUAGCUGAAGUUUGUGUCA